AGUAAGCUACGGCAGGCCUAUACAUGCAGUCGAACGGUAAAUGUCCCUUCGGGGAUAUGAGAGUGGCGCACGGGUGCGUAACGCGUAUGCAACCCACCCGCUGUCGGGGGAUAGCCCGUAGAAAUGCGAAUUAAUACCCCAUGAGGAGAUAGGGCGGCAUCGUCCUUUUUUCAAAACUUUGGUGACGGCGGACGGGCAUGCGUGCCAUUAGAUAGUUGGCGGGGUAACAGCCCACCAAGUCGACGAUGGCUAGGGGAUCUGAGAGGACGGUCCCCCACACUGGUACUGAGACACGGACCAGACUCCUACGGGAGGCAGCAGUAAGGGAUAUUGGUCAAUGGGGGGAACCCUGAACCAGCCAUGCCGCGUGAGGGAAUAAGGCCCUACGGGUCGUAAACCUCUUUUGCCGGGGGAUAAGGACGCCCACGUGUGGGUGUUUGAAGGUACCCGGAGAAUAAGCAUCGGCUAACUCCGUGCCAGCAGCCGCGGUAAU
rnacentral:rRNA from 1 species